GACGUAGGGGGCGAACGUUAUCCGGAAUUAUUGGGCGUAAAGGAUGCGUAGAUGGGGUAGUAAGUUAUCGGUGGCAAAUCGGGGCUCAACCUCGUGGAAGUCGGUAAUACUGCUAUGCUAGAGGAUAGGAGAGGUUAACGGAACUCCCUGUGGAGCGGUGAAAUGCGUAGAUAUAGGGAAGAACACCAAUCAGGCGAAGGCAGUUAACUAUUCUAUUCCUGACAUUGAGGCAUGAAAGCGUGGGGAGCAAAACGG
rnacentral:rRNA from 1 species